CUUUGUCUCUUCCUUGUUCAGCUUCCCGGCUCAGAGCCUGCUACUGUCGCCUCCAUUGUGAGCCGGGAGUCCUGACUGAACCGCUGCUGCGCCCCAGCGGGGUGUGUGCGGGGAGAGCCCUUCCCUAGCGCCCCUCGGGGCCAGCCGGGGGGACUUUCUCCGGGGGCUGGAACCAGCUCCGGGCUCUGCCGACACCAGCCCCUGAGCUGGAGCCUGCAGUUAUUUUGCAUGGGCAGAUGGCAUUUGUGCACCCAACACCGCCCUAUACCGGAAACCUACUGACCACUAUUCCUACCUACAUGCCUCCAGCUUUCACCCUGACCUCACCACACGAUCCAUUGUCUACAGCCAAGCUCUGCGAUACAGCCACAUUUGCUCCAACUCCUCAGACAGAGACAAACACCUACAAGAUCUCUAUCAAGCAUUCUUACAACUACAAUACCCACCUGCGGAAGUGAAGAAACAGAUUGAUAGAGCCAGAAGAGUGCCCAGAAGUCACCUACUACAAGACACGCCUAACAAAGAAAAUAACAGAACGCCACUAGCCGUCACCUUCAGCCCCCAACUAAAACCCCUCCAACCCAUUAUUAAGGAUCUACAACCUAUCCUGAAGGAUGACCCAACACUCUCACAAAUCUUGGGAGACAGGCCAGUCCUUGCCUACAGACAGCCCCCCAACCUGAAGCAAAUACUCACCAGCAACCACAUAUCACACCACAGAACCACUAACCCAGGAACCUAUCCUUGCAACAAAGCCCGUUGCCAACUGUGCCCACAUAUCUAUUCAGGGGACACCAUCACAGGGCCUAAUAACAUCAGCCACACUAUUCAGAGGCUCGUUCACCUGCACAUCCACCAAUGUGAUAUAUGCCAUCAUGUGCCAGCAAUGCCCGUCUACCAUGUACAUUGGUCAAACUGGACAGUCUCUAUGUAAAAGAAUAAAUGGACACAAAUCAGAUGUCAAGAAUUAUAACAUACAUAAACCAGUCAGAGAACACUUCAAUCUCUCUGGUCAUGCGCUUACAGACAUGAAAGUUGCGAUAUUACAACAAAAAAACUUCAAAACCAGACUCCAGCAAGAGACUGUUGAAUUGGAAUUCAUUUGCAAAUUGGAUACAAUUAACUUAGGCUUGAAUAGAGACUGGGAGUGGCUAAGUCAUUAUGCAAGGUAACCUAUUUCCCCUUGUUUUUUCCUACUCCCCCCAAUACGUUCUUGUUAAACCCUGGAUUUAUGCUGGAAAUGGCCCACCUUGAUUAUCAUACCAUUGUAAGGAGAGUGAUCACUUUAGAUAAGCUAUUACCAGCAGGAGAGUGGGGUGGGGGGAGAGAAAACCUUUUGUAGUGGUAAACAACCAUUUUUUCAUGCUUUGUGUGUAUAAAAAGAUCUUCUAUACUUUCCACAGUAUGCAUCUGAUGAAGUGAGCUGUAGCUCAUGAAAGCUUAUGCUCAAAUAAAUUGGUUAGUCUCUAAGGUG